rnacentral:rRNA from 1 species
UACGUAGGCAGCAAGCGUUGUUCGGAAUUACUGGGCGUAAAGCGUGUGUAGGCGGUUGGGUAAGUCUGGUGUGAAAUCUCCCGGCUCAACUGGGAGGGUGCGCCGGAAACUGCCUGGCUAGAGUGCGGAAGAGGAGAGUGGAAUUCCCGGUGUGAGCGGUGAAAUGCGUAGAUAUCGGGAGGAACACCUGUGGCGAAAGCGGCUCUCUGGACCGUAACUGACGCUGAGACACGGAAAGCGUGGGUAGCAAACAGG